GAUGAACGCUGGCGGCGUGCCUAAUACAUGCAAGUCGAGCGAACGGACGAGAAGCUUGCUUCUCUGAUGUUAGCGGCGGACGGGUGAGUAACACGUGGAUAACCUACCUAUAAGACUGGGAUAACUUCGGGAAACCGGAGCUAAUACCGGAUGAUAUUUUGAACCGCAUGGUUCAAAAGUGAAAGACGGUCUUGCCGUCACUUAUAGAUGGAUCCGCGCUGCAUUAGCUAGUUGGUAAGGUAACGGCUUACCAAGGCAACGAUGCAUAGCCGACCUGAGAGGGUGAUCGGCCACACUGGAACUGGGACACGGUCCAGACUCCUACGGGAGGCAGCAGUAGGGAAUCUUCCGCAAUGGGCGAAAGCCUGACGGAGCAACGCCGCGUGAGUGAUGAAGGUCUUCGGAUCGUAAAACUCUGUUAUUAGGGAAGAACAUAUGUGUAAGUAACUGUGCACAUCUUGACGGUACCUAAUCAGAAAGCCACGGCUAACUACGUG
rnacentral:rRNA from 1 species